rnacentral:rRNA from 1 species
AAUCAACGCUGGCGGCGUGCCUAACACAUGCAAGUCGAACGGGAAAGUGGAGCAAUCCAUGAGUAUAGUGGCGACCGGGUGAGUAACACGUGACUAACCUACCUUCAAGUGGGGAUAACCUCGGGAACCGGGGACGUAAUACCGCAUAACAUCUCUGUUAUGAGAAAGCAGAGAUCAAAGGAGUAAUUCGCUGGAAGAGGGGGUCGCGGCUGAUUAGCUAGUUGGUGGGGUAA